rnacentral:rRNA from 1 species
CGAAGGGUUUCGGCCUUAGUUGGCGGACGGGUGAGUAACGCGUAGGUAUCUAUCCAUGGGGUGGGGGAUAACACUGGGAAACUGGUGCUAAUACCGCAUGACACCUGAGGGUCAAAGGCGUAAGUCGCCUGUGGAGGAGCCUGCGUUUGAUUAGCUAGUUGGUGGGGUAAAGGCCUACCAAGGCGAUGAUCAAUAGCUGGUUUGAGAGGAUGAUCAGCCACACUGGGACUGAGACACGGCCCAGACUCCUACGGGAGGCAGCAGUGGGGAAUAUUGGACAAUGGGGGCAACCCUGAUCCAGCAAUGCCGCGUGUGUGAAGAAGGUCUUCGGAUUGUAAAGCACUUUCGACGGGGACGAUGAUGACGGUACCCGUAGAAGAAGCCCCGGCUAACUUCGUGCCAGCAGCCGCGGUAAUACGAAGGGGGCUAGCGUUGCUCGGAAUGACUGGGCGUAAAGGGCGUGUAGGCGGUUUGUACAGUCAGAUGUGAAAUCCCCGGGCUUAACCUGGGAGCUGCAUUUGAUACGUGCAGACUAGAGUGUGAGAGAGGGUUGUGGAAUUCCCAGUGUAGAGGUGAAAUUCGUAGAUAUUGGGAAGAACACCGGUGGCGAAGGCGGCAACCUGGCUCAUUACUGACGCUGAGGCGCGAAAGCGUGGGGAGCAAACAGGAUUAGAUA